rnacentral:rRNA from 1 species
UGUAACUCUCUCUAAGGAACUCGGCAAAAUGGCCCCGUAGCUUCGGGAGAAGGGGUGCCACCGCAAGGUGGUCGCAGUGAAGAGGCCCAGGCGACUGUUUACCAAAAACACAGGUCUCCGCUAAGUCGCAAGACGAUGUAUGGGGGCUGACGCCUGCCCAGUGCCGGAAGGUUAAGGAAGCUGGUCAGCGCAAGCGAAGCUAGCGACUGAAGCCCCGGUGAACGGCGGCCGUAACUAUAACGGUCCUAAGGUAGCGAAAUUCCUUGUCGGGUAAGUUCCGACCCGCACGAAAGGCGUAACGAUCUGGGCGCUGUCUCGGAGAGAGGCUCGGCGAAAUAGAAUUGUCUGUGAAGAUGCGGACUACGUGCACCCGGACAGAAAGACCCUAUGAAGCUUUACUGUAGCUUGGUAUUGUGCCCGGGCUCUGAAUGCGCAGGAUAGGUGGGAGGCUUUGAUCCAUGGCUUGCGGGUCAUGGUGAGCCAACGGUGAGAUACCACUCUUUCAGAGCUAGGGUUCUAACGGUCACCCGUCAUCCGGGGACCGGACAGUAUCAGGUGGGCAGUUUGACUGGGGCGGUCGCCUCCUAAAAGGUAACGGAGGCGCGCAAAGGUUUGCUCAGGCUGGUUGGAAAUCAGCCGACGAGUGCAAGAGCAGAAGCAAGCUUGACUGUGAGACCUACAAGUCGAACAGGGACGAAAGUCGGCUUUAGUGAUCCGACGGUUCUGAGUGGAAGGGCCGUCGCUCAACGGAUAAAAGUUACUCUAGGAUAACAGGCUGAUCUCCCCCAAGAGUUCACAUCGACGGGGAGGUUUGGCACCUCGAUGUCGGCUCAUCGCAACCUGGGGCUGAAGUCGGUCCCAAGGGUUGGGCUGUUCGCCCAUUAAAGCGGUACGCGAGCUGGGUUCAGAACGUCGUGAGACAGUUCGGUCCAUAUCCGGUGCACGCGCAGGAACAUUGAGAGGAUUUCUCCCUAGUACGAGAGGACCGGGAGGAACGCACCUCUGGUGUGCCAGUUAUCGUGCCAACGGUAAACGCUGGGUAGCCAUGUGCGGAGUGGAUAACCGCUGAAAGCAUCUAAGUGGGAAGCCCACCUCAAGAUGAGUGUUCCCAUGGCAUAAGCCAGUAAGGUCACGGGAAGAACACCCGUUGAUAGGCUCUACGUGGAAGCCGGGUAACCGGUGAAGCGGAGGAGUACUAAUAGACCGAGGGCUUGACC